UACGUAGGUGGCAAGCGUUGUCCGGAUUUACUGGGUGUAAAGGGCGUGUAGCCGGGCCGGCAAGUCAGAUGUGAAAUCCCAAGGCUCAACCUUGGGACUGCAUUUGAAACUGUUGGUCUUGAGUAUCGGAGAGGCAGGCGGAAUUCCUAGUGUAGCGGUGAAAUGCGUAGAUAUUAGGAGGAACACCAGUGGCGAAGGCGGCCUGCUGGACGACAACUGACGGUGAGGCGCGAAAGCGUGGGGAGCAAACAGG
rnacentral:rRNA from 1 species